rnacentral:lncRNA from 1 species
CCCCCGAAGUGGAGCCGGGCUUAAUCACAGGGAGCGUGGUUUCUCCCACCGCCCAGCCCCGUGAUGGAGACAUUCUCAUUCCACUUAGAGACGAGGAGCUGGAAGCCGAGAGAAGCUAAGACCUUGCCGAAGACCACACAGAGUGGACAGUCAUUAAACAGUGAUUGCAUUGUUGUGACUAUGUAAACGUCGUUCACUGCAGAGCCAACCAGUGUGCUGUGAGGACGCCACCCUCCUCCAGCAGGAUGCUCCACGGUAUGGCUGCUUGGAGGAAAAACCAGCCCCCAUGUUGUGAGCUACCCUAUGGAGAGGCCCAUUUGGUGAGGAACUGGUGUCUCCAGCCAACAGCCCGUGAGGCAUUGAGGUCUGCCAACAGCCACGGGAGCAAGCCUGGGAAUGGCUCCUCUCCUAGUUGAGCCUGGAGACACCUACAGUUCUGGCUGCAGCCUUGGGAGAGAUUCUGAGUCAGAGGCACCAAGAAGCACCCAGCUAAGCUGUGCCCAGAUUCCUGACCAGUAGAAAUUCCCAGGGAGAAGCCAGUCCCAGAUCAUGAGGACACUCAAGAAGCCCAGUGUGGUGAUGAACUGAGGCCUCCUGCCAACAGCCAGCACCAACUUACCAGAUACGUGAAUGAGCCAGGCUGGACGCAGAUCAGUCAGCCCCAGCCAAGUCUUCAAUUGACUGCAACCCCAGCUGCCACCUUGAUUGCACUCUCUUGAGCAACCUGGAGCCAGAACUACCCAAUCAAGCUUCUUCUGAAUUCCCGACCUACAGAAAUUGAAAGGUAAUGAAUAUUUAUUGUUGUCUCAAGCUGCUAUGUUUUGGGGGUAAACUGUUAGGCAGCAAUAGAUAACGAAUACAUUGUAGAAUAAGUGACUAAAUUAUUCCAUCCAAGUGAAGGAGCUGGGGCGCUUAUACAUCAAUACCCAUCUGUCAGUGGAUGAUGGCUGCUUCUAGGGGGUGUUGAUUCACCAGCACUUAUUUGUGGGCAGAGAGGGCUUCAGUGGCUAGAGAAAGCCUGCAGGCAGAGAGAUGAAGGUUCUGGCAGCUGGAAGUCAGGCCUGUGUGAACCCAAAGGUAAAGAUGAAGGUUAUAGGUAGGGUGUUCACAGGGACUGCUAGCUCUCAAACUCAAUUUAACUCUCAUCUACACUACUUCCCUCCCCCCAGGCAGCUUGGAGCAUCGACUCCUUCUUCAGAGCCUGAUUCCUCCAGGGUUUUGUCCCUAG